rnacentral:lncRNA from 1 species
UGGUGUGAGUGGUCCUUUGACUUGUGAUGUCAUUGGCUAUUCACAGUGAGGCUUCUAAGUUUGACUGCAUAUUUUCUUGAUCCCUAGUCAUUUAGAUCUUUACUGUGUAUGUUAGCUUCAGUAGGUUUAAAUUCACUGUUUGGAGUAGGAUGCGUCUAGAAAGAAACUAUCGAUCUUGGUAGAAAAGAAGAAGUCCUAUGCGAUUUACGAGACUGAGUUCAG